rnacentral:snRNA from 1 species
AUGCUCCCAGUCUGCUCAGGAGAUCGUGGCUCAUUCCCCUUCUCUGGGGUAGUAUGCAUAUGUCCCUCCCUCGGGAAGCUGUGUGCUUGGAUCGAAGAGGACGACCUUCCGACCUUCCCCUAAUAGAGGAGGACCAGUCUUUGGUCAAGGGUACAAGAGUAGCUGUGCUCCUCUGCUAGAAGCUCCAAAGAAGGUCUCAAGGUCCUCCGCACUUCUUUUCACAUCCAAACAUGCUUUGAGAUUUAAGACAUUAUCCUGAACUGAAGUUUUAUUUUUCUUU